GUAACGCAAGCGCUUUGUGGGACUUGGUCAUUGUUGAGCCUUUUUGACAAACGAGCAGCAGUGAUCUUGAUGGCCACCAAAUCUAGGGUUUGGAAACUAAAUAAACACAACAAAAAUGCUUAUUUCAAGCUACAUGUAAUUUCAAAAUUACACCUGCUCCUCAUUUCCAUCAUUCAUGUAAUGAUGAGAUUAUUCCUUGCAAUGAAGCUCAGAAAUGUGCAAAUCUGUCAUUGA